ensembl:lncRNA
UGAAAAGUCUGUCUUUAAUUUCAACCUGUUAUGAAUCCGUCAUUUCCGGAAUUUCUCAAGCAAAAAUUUGACGGUAUAUGGAAAGUAAUUUCCGGUCAAACUCAUGAAAAAUUAUUGCGAGGUAUACCGAUAUUAAAUAUUCUAUAAGUAUUCUAUUCCUGAUGUUUAAAACGAGAGUGUGUUGAGUUAAAAUACAGUAACACAUUCAUUUUGUUUAGUGGGCAGAUAAAACAUAUUCGAGCCAAAUACAACCAUGACAAAUGUUCUUUUUCACAGGUGGUCUGGACUGGAAGACGUCGCCGCAUAAUGUGAAUCAAAAAACAGCAGCAAAUUGCGCUGCUCCUUCUGUUACAUAAACACACCCUCAGCUGCUGAUGUAAAUGGCCGCAUGUUAAUUUAAUUACAAUGAAUUAAGACCUGAUUCUAGAGUGUGUGAGGCUUUUCUUUCCACAUAUCUCCAAACAAAAUAAAUGAAAUUGGUCAUUUCCUGUCAAAAAGACCCCCCUCGUGCAGGAUGACGUCACUCGUGCCUUUCAUGACCACAACAAACAAUGGUUGCAAAUGCUAUUUGGAGGUAUAGAGGAGCUUCAUCAAGUAUUCUAAACAUGUCAGACAUUAUUCAAAUCUAAAAAGGAAAAAUCACAUCUAAUUGGCAAAACAGUCAGAAAGACGCUAAUUGAGAAAACUCAAUUAAAUUACUGCCUUGUUGGUUGUAUUAGUUUCAUGUCUUUGUAUAAGUAUGUGUGUGUGUGUGUGUGUGUGUGUGUGUGUGUGUGUGUGUGUGUGUGUGGGUGUAUGUAAUCUCUGGUUUGUUUCACUUCAAAUCUUUUAGCAGCUUCCACCAUAGCGUCAAACAUUCUACAGUCCUCACAUCUAAAGCAGCAACCGUCCACGUGUCCCGUCAGAUUGUGAAACCUCAUCAUGGAUACUAGUCUCAAUGCUUGAUCAGUUAUUCUAGGAGCAUUGUCUGCACCUGACAUCACCCUGACUGUUUGUUGGAACAGGGAAAGUAAAUGAGAUUAAAUCUUUCCAGAAGCUGGGACUCUUGUCAUUUCUUGCGCAUACAGACACGUCCAGCUCUGCCACUACAGGUGAAUCCUGCUGAAGAAGAAGAAAAAGAAGAAGAAGCCAGAAUGUCAUGAGACACUGUCAGUUCUCAUGAAUCACUUUGAUUAUCAUAUAAAACAUUAGCAGCAGCUGUGCAUUUGUUAUGAGUGUGUGUUGGUACACUGAUGGGGAGGGGGGUUCGGGUGAGAGGGGUAGUCUGGGUCAAGGGCCGUAUGGGGGAUGGGAGGUGCAGCAGGACAGAGUCAACGUUACAAAUAAGAUCAGUUCAUUCUACCGUCUUAUGUGUAUUUCAAUCCGGAGAGACUUGUUGAAAUUUGAACAAUGCUUUAUUUUAACAGGCAUAAUAUAAUAUUGCAAGUGGUUUGGGGCUUGGACUCCAUCCUGCCGCAGGAUAGACCAGGGGCCGGGAUCUCGAGCCGAGACGAGGCAUAUCCCCCCUUGGGAGUCCAGACACUGGUGGUGGUGGUGGUGGUGGUGGUAGAGCCCAAGUUGCAUAACUCUCCUGCUAUGCCAGGUUCUGCUGUAGAUUGGCGGUGUCAAGGGUGGUGGCGGGUUACCUUUGGCGCGUGAUGAAAUGACAACUGACAGCAAAAGAGAGAAGAACAGUUUUUAACGUUUGCCUGCACCAAUGCGAUUGGUUUACGAUAACGACACCCACGUCUGAUACUACCCGACCCCGCCCCUAAUCAGCUGGCCGUGCACCCCCAGGGAGAGAGGAGGCCACCAGGGAACGGCACAGCCUGUCCAGUCUUCCUGACUGAAUUUUCACCUAAGCUUCAUUUAAUGCACAACAUCGGUUACCAACGUCACGUAACUUGAGCCAUUUCACAAACCAAGAUCUGCAGCCUAGCGGAAUUGGGCCACAGCUUGUGUAUCUCAAACUAGGCAGGAAACCGAGGCGGUGAGAGGCGGCGCCAAGGCGCGUUGGACUGCUUAUUAGAGCCGAGGGGGGUGUUUGUCGAGCUGUUUCGAAUCACACGUCCUCCCCCGACACAUCGCGUGUCCUCAUCUUUUUAAUUGGACUGUCACGACCUCCGACCCCCCCCUCCACCCCUCCUCGGGGUGCCUUACACCAGAUUCACACGCCGUCGGCUCCUCGCCGCGCUGACUGAGGUGAUGCACGCUCGUUGGAACGCCGCACACACACACACACACACACACUUGCACGCACGCACACACACGACUUACUCCUCCUGUCAAAUCCACAGGUCGGGUCUCACCAUUUCUCUGGAUUUAAGAGGCCCAUUAGAAAAAAGACGAUAGUCACAGAGUCCAACUAGAACUAGUCAUACAAGUGCUCAUACAAGUGCUCCGAAUCCCCCCCACACAC